GCGAGGAUUGCGGCUCCACGGACUCUGGUAUGCAAAUAUGUAUGAGGGGCCGUUUCGGACAAAAGUCUGUCAAAAACGGCGAGUGAAGGGUCACGUUUCCGCGCGCAGGGAAUCAGGUUGCACGAUAGGGUGCCGUUCCGGACAAAAGUCUGUCAAAUACGGCGAGUGAAGGGUCACUUUUCCGCGCGCAGGGAAUCAGGUUUCUGCGCGCAGGGAAUCAGGUUUCUGCGCGCAGGGAAUCAGGUUUCUGCGCGCAGGGAAUCAGGUUUCUGCGCGCAGGGAAUCACGUUUCUGCGCGCAGGGAAUCACGUUUCUGCGCGCAGGGAAUCACGUUUCUGCGCGCAGGGAAUCAGCAGGCUAUGCUGCUAGAGGGGAGGGGUUACUUUUGUCGUCACACAAAUGUAUUUUGCCAGAGGAGGCGAUAAAAAACUAAGGAGCUAGACAUGUCUUCACAUUCGAAUAGUAAUGUAGCCCGGGGAAUCGCCGAAGAAAUAAUUAACAACCCGGAAAUCCUUCAACGUCUGGAAAGUGCCCUGAAUGGUAAAAACAAUCGUAUGCCUACUACAAGACAGGAGACAUCAACUAUUGAUGAAGAAGUUCGUCAAUUGUUUCAAGGGCGGAAUGUGGUCGCUGAUCGUCCCGCUCAAAAUAAUUCCCCUGCAUUCAAUAUGCAAAGAAACUUUAUCAGAGCCGGAGCAGUUCCAGGGAUUUUAAAUAGAAGGGCCAGAAAGAGACCCAGAAAUGUUUGUGGCCCUUUCCACAAAGAUGUUUGUCUACUAACGGGUCCCAAUGACACAGACGUCCCGAAAGGCAAAAUACGCUUAUACCUGGCAGAGCAAGGGCAUCUGGUUUUAGGUGUGAGAUUUAUGAAGGAGUGGGAGCCAUAUGAGGUGCAAAACCACUUGCACACAGUCUUUGAAAGAAACCUGACAGAAAACAUUCAAUUUGAAAUAAUGGUGACACUCCACAACAAAUUAAUAAAGCCAAGUCUGGAGCAAGACCAAAAGAUGAAUGGACUGUUACUAAAUAAAAUUUUCAAGGACAAAACUGUGUACCUUCGUCCAUCUUUACAACUGCUGGUCGUUCCUGCAAAUGCAAAGAAGAACAGAGGUACUCUGUCAAAUAAUGAUGAUGAUGAUAUUGAAAUAGAUUUGACUGAUUCCAGUCCACCAAUGAACAGCCUGAAUGUAACAGUUCUUCAGGUCAUUGAGGAUGCUCCUUCAGAACUCAUAGAUGCUCCGUAUUCGACAGCAGGUUCAGAUGGGCCUCUUAUCAUAACAGAAGAAGAAAAUGCCACAGUUUCCAGGGUUCUUGAUUGUCCAAGUGAAUGGCAUUAUGCUGCUUUAUUUGUUGAUGAAGAGCUCAGCGAAAGCUUUGAAGAUCCAAUACCCCUUUCCACUGGUAUUGAAACAUCCCACCAUGAACGAGACAUUGGGGAUAUUCUCUGUGAGCUGGCCUCCCAGAUUGAUACAGAAAAUGUUUCCCUGUUUAAUAUCAGCCGGAAUCACCUAUGGGAAGGAGCGAAACGAGGCUUUAAAAAAAAAAACUUUCUUACCUUGCAAAAGGCUUUCGGUGAAAUUUAUGGACGAUAUAGGAGUGAGCGAAGGAGCCGUCGACCUCGGAGGACCAAGGAGAGAAUUUUUAACCAUGCUAAUGGAGUCCUUGCACCAAGGAAGCCUCUUUGUGGGACCAGACCAUGCCAAGUUCCUAAACUACAUUAGUGGAUGUAAUGAAUUUAUGCUUUUUUAAUUCUUUAUCAUUACGUUUUCAGUCUGUCUAAAUCUAACAUUCUUUAUUUCAGUGAUGGUCUCGGAUGACUAUUUUUAUGCGGGUAUGACUAUUGCAACAUCACUGGUUCAUGGAGGACCUGGCCCACAGUUCUUAUCACCAGUACUUUUUGAGGCGCUUUCAAGUACACCCGAGUCCACAUUUGUGGCAGUGCAAGAUAUCCCUGAUAUGGACAUAAGGAACUAUCUGGAGAAGCUUCUAACUUACCAGGAAGAACAUUCAAACACAGCAAACUUAUUUGAACCAAUCCAAACUCUGAUGCAGCUGGCUGGAACACACAAAGUUAUCCGUAAUGCUGAUGAUUAUCGCAAGAUUGCUGAAGAAACUGCACAUUGGUACAUUUUUGGAAGAACACGGGCAGCAUUUGAGAGAUUAAAGGAAGGGCUGAAAACUCUAGGUGUACUGGAUGCUAUGACCAAGUAUCCCAAUGCAUUCAAGCAUGUCAUGUGCUACACAGAAGACACCCUCACAGCCAAGACAUUUGAUAUCUUCCGCCCUGUUCUACACCCAUUGGGCUCCAAUAAAAGGGGAACAGAAAAUCUUGUAUUGUCUCACUGGAAAGACUUUAUACAAGAACUACAAGAUGAGCCAUCAGAUGUCACAUUGAAGUCACUACUAUUCUUUAUUACUGGCUGCAAGACCGUACCACCACUGGGAUUCAGACCAGAACCCACUGUAGAUUUUUUACAUGAUGCUGAGGACAAUGGAGAGAAAUCAAGAUUUCCAAAGGCAAAUACAUGCAACUGUACGCUGUUUUUGCCAACUGUACAUGUAGUUUAUGAAGAAUUCACUGAAGCCAUGAGAUAUGCUGUUCUAAAUUGUCAGGGCUUUGGCUUUGCAUAGUCAACUAUUGAUCUUCUGGUGUGCUGGAUGGUAGGGAUGCUCCAGAUAAAACCAAAGAAAGGAAAAAAAAAAAAAAAUGAGAAAAAAAAUACAGUAUACUUGGGAUUUCUUGUUUUUCCUGGUCCUGGGGAGAUCUGUGUGUUCUGUUUUUUUCCCCCCAACUCAAUGAUUUAAUUGCACCCUUCAUUUAACUAAUACUUUACCUAAUCUGAGCUUUUUCUUUUCUUUGGAGCUCUUAAAGUUAAUUUGAAGUUACAGGUAUAGAAAAGAAUUGUGAAACACUGCUUUAACCAAUUCAUCAGUUUCAAACAACAAACACUAAAUGGGCAACUGAUUUGAUCAUUUAUUAUUUCCAUGGCAAAUGCAAAUUUAUUUCUAUUAAAUAUUAUUUGUAUUAAAUA